CCAGGGCCUUGCGCUUGCUAGGCAAGCGCUCUACCACUGAGCUAAAUCCCCAACUCCCGAUUUUUAAUUAUAUUUUAAAAAUUUAACAAUUAUUUUAAUUAUGUGUAUGCAUGUGAUUGUUGGUCCUGACAAGGUCAGAGGCAUCUAAUUGCCUCUGGAGCUGGCAGCUGUGAGCUGUCUGGCUGGCACGGUUUCUGGGAACCAUACUCUGGUCCUUUUCGAGAGCAGUAUGCACUCGGUGCUGGCUGCUAGUUUUAUGUCAGCUUGGGACAAGCUACAGUCAUCUAAGAGGAUUUAGAUUCCAGAACCCACAUCUGGUUCUAAGGGAAGGGAACCUCACUGGAGAAAAUGUCUUCAUAAGAUUGGGCUUUAAGCAGGCAAGUCUUUUUAUCUUUUUUUUAGACAGGCUCUCUCUUUAUAGCCCUGCCUGGACCCACUUACCUUCACCUCCCCAGUGCUGGGAUUAAAGACAUGUGACACUAUACACAACGGGGAUUUCCUUAGUGAUGGGAUACUUUAGAUCCUAGAACCCACAUCUGGUGACACACAACUGCCUAUAACUCCAGCUUUAGGGCAUCUAACACUCUCUUCCUGCUUCUAAAGGUAUCAGCCAGUUCCACACAAAGACACAUACUCAUAGUUUAAGAAAAUAAAUAUUAUUAGGUAUUUAUUUAUAUUUAAAAAAUUAUUUUAUGGGUAUGAAUGUUUUGCCUAUGUGUAAGUAUAUGCACCGCAUUGAGUGCUUAGUGCCUUCAGAAGUCAGAAGAGUGCAUCAGAUCUUCUGAACGAGUUACAGUUGUGAGCCACCACUGGGUGCUGAGAAUCAAACCGGGGUCCUCUCUAAGAGCAGCUAGUGCUUUUAACUGCUCUUCUCUCUAGUCCUCUAAUUUUUGAUAUGUAAAAUAUGACCCUCCCCCCAAGACAUUUCUUAGAUAUUGCAUUGCUAAAAGAUUGAGGCCAACAUAUCGUGGAGGAUAGGUCAGCUCAGAGCCGCCCACCCCCCAUGCCCCCCCUCCCCAACGGUGUUUUCAUCAGUGCCAGGAACACAUCCUAAGAGUCCUGGAGCCUCUUGACUAAAGAAAGUGAAACGAUUUAUUUUUCUGAUCUUGUAAAGUCAGGUGUCAGCCUGGGGAGAAGGGAAAAACGGCUGCAGAUUUGGUAUAAAACAGUAGUUUUGAUAGAUAGCCCUUACCGCAUUUUCCCGUUCCCAAAUUCCUCACUACCGAGUUUUUCAGGAAGAUCCAAUCUUACAGGAGUUACCCUCUCUCCAGAUUCCCUACACUAUCAGUGCAGGAUGCAAAGCUCUGUCUGACAUAUAUCCUGGAGCUCAAGAUCCGCUCCUUUUAUGUUAGUCACGUAAUAGUCUAUAACUUUUCAUAAAUUAAUAAGUGCCUAGGCUAGCAAGAACCAGCUGGGGUAGACAGGGGCCAGAUACUUCCUAAUUAUCUGUAAUUUCCCUGAUGAGCUCUAAACGCGCCUCUUACUACUAAAAUGGACUAUAGUUUAUUUCCUUACAGCAGAAAAGACUGUUUUCUGGUAGAGGUGCUGGAGUGAGAGUCAGGAGCCUGAAAACACAGUGACUGUACAUGGAAGCUGUGCAUGAAGGCAGAAUAGGCUUCGGUGCCAACUCCGGGGUCCAUUUAGGGGACAGCGGUCUAAGUUUUAGGUGCCAUUCAAUGAAUAACUCCGGCUAUACUCUGUACUUUGGAUCCGGGCUGAAGACAGGGGUCAGUGUUUAGGAGGGAAGAAGUAUUCAAAGCGGGGAGGCAAGAGGAAUCCAAGUGAUUCUACAGGUUGAGUGCACCUGUGAACCAAACAAGAAUCACAGCAUCCUGUCUAGAAGGACUAAAGAGGAGGCCAGCAUCCUACCAAGGAUGAGGGACUAUGGGGCCUAAGGCGACAAGAGGAUCUCCCAGGGUUCGCAGAAACACAUCGCGACAGAAAACCGACUUCUGCCAAGUCCCGCAGGAGAAGAGUGGACGGAGCGCCCCGGAGGCGCGGACAGCGGCUCGCGUGUAAGCCCUCCUCCUGUCGGGAGAGGGCGCUCGGCAGCACCGCCGCGGGGAAACGGUUU
ensembl:lncRNA